UACAGAGGGUGCGAGCGUUAAUCGGAAUUACUGGGCGUAAAGCGCGCGUAGGCGGCUUUGCAAGUCGGGUGUGAAAUCCCCAGGCUUAACCUGGGAACUGCAUUCGAGACUGCAUUGCUAGAGUAUGGGAGAGGGAAGUGGAAUUCCUGGUGUAGCGGUGAAAUGCGCAGAUAUCAGGAAGAACACCCGUGGCGAAGGCGGUUCUCUGGGACGGUACUGACGCUGGAGACGCGAAAGCGUGGGGAGCGAACAGG
rnacentral:rRNA from 1 species